GGUUUGCUGACCCUUUUCGAGUGUGUAAUCUUUAGCUCUUGCUGCCUUUUCUGCUGCGGUUUGAGCGGCGGACGAAAGGCUCUCCUUCGCCUGCUGACCGGUUUGCUGACCCUUUUCGAGUGUGUAAUCUUUGGCUCUUGCUGCCUUCUCUGCAGCGGUUUGAGCGGCGGACGAAAGGCUCUCCUUCGCCUGCUGACCGGUUUGCUGACCCUUUUCGUGUGCGUAAUCUUUGGCUCUAGCAGCCUUCUCAGCGGCUGUUUGGGUGGCCGAAGAAAGGCUCUCCUUGGCCUGUUCACUUUUCAUGACGGUGUAAUCCGAUGCCCUAGCUGCAUUCUCCGCUGCAGUUUGGGUUGCACUCGAAAGGCGCUCUUCUGCCUGUUGACCAAUUUGGCCCCCCUUUGCAGAGGUGGUGGAUACGUUAUUUUUAAUCACCUGCCCACCCGUUACUCGACCGGUUUCACCGGCCCGAGUAGACAUCUCUUUCGACUUUCUAUACUGCUCCUCGGCAGCCCGAAUGGCAUCCAUGGAGUUCUGCUGUGCAACACCUCUAUACUUGGAAAUCUCUUCAAGAGAAGGCCCUUUGUAUUGAUCUUUAGCCUCACUUUGAUCACCAGCUGCACCAUGCACUGUUCCGACCACAUGGUGCACUACUGGUUGAUCACCUGAAUCUUUGACUGUGAGUGACUCAAAAUGACUGGCCAUUUUGGGGACUUUAUCUUUCUCGACAUGAAUUUCUCGCUCAUCAGUCUUGUUUUCUCUCCUUUGCUGCUGUGCCAUGAUGAUACUGAAGAUAUGUCGGUUUUAGGGUGAUGAUGAAGCAACGUGUCGGGCAGAGAGAGACGGGAUUGGUGAGUCAGCAAUUGGCGGUGACUGAGGGUGGCAAACAGUGGUACACGUGUAAGUAAUGCAAUGUUAUCUUUAAAACGUUGGACUUAACCUCGUUAAUUCUCGUUGGACCGUUUAUUAGCUUACACGUUAGCUUUGGAGAUAAAGCAAUCCAGCAACAAUUAUCAACUGUUUAAUAUUCUAAGUUUAGAUUUUGUUAGGAUCGUGAUUUACGUUUGUAAUCAGUAAUUUUUGGGUUAAUAAAAACAGAAAAGAGUCGUGGGAUUUCGUCCCUCACAAAUCACCGUGUUCAACGUCUUCUUUGUUUUUAUCAAUUGUUUGCCAACACAAAAUUCAUCGCAAAGAUUCGAGUCCUUUGGUCAAAUCUUUUCAUUUUGUUUUUUGUUUUAAUUUUAACAAGUUAGACUAUCCUCAACGUUUGCUUUGAAGGGGAUCUGA
rnacentral:lncRNA from 1 species